GAAAUGCGAUAAGUAAUGUGAAUUGCAGAAUUCAGUGAAUCAUCGAAUCUUUGAACGCACCUUGCGCUCCUUGGUAUUCCUUGGAGCAUGCCUGUUUGAGUAUCAUGAAAUCUUCAAAGUAAAUCUUUUGUUAACUCAAUUGGCUUCUACUUUGGUAUUGGAGGUCUUUGCAGCUUCACACCUGCUCCUCUUUGUUCAUUAGCUGGAUCUCAGUGUUAUGCUUGGUUCCACUCGGCGUGAUAAGUUAUCUAUCGCUGGGGACACUGUAAAAGGUGGCCAAGGUAAAUGCAGAUGAACCGCUUCUAAUAGUCCAUUGACUUGGACAAUACUUUUAUGAUCUGAUCUCAAAUCAGGUAGGACUACCCGCUGAACUUAAGC
rnacentral:misc_RNA from 1 species